GGGGGCGCGGCGUCGCGGAGCUCGGGCCGGUGGAAGGUUUACCUGCUAGGCUCGUCCCACCUGUGUGGAGCUCCCAUCGCCCUCCAGCGUUGCGCAGCCUGAAGGGACAGGACGGACAAGCGGGUGCCUCCUUCUAAUUCAUCUUCACCAUUGUGGUUGUCAAUAUGGCAUGCAGAAUUAUCCCUCUUUCCAGGUUUUCCCCAAGGACCCUGGACAAUGCUGGUUUUUCC
rnacentral:lncRNA from 10 species